CUGGUUGGGGUAAAGAAAGGAAAGAAAGCCGCUGCUUACCUGGCUAGCCUCUCUGUGGAGAUGCCCUGAUAGGCCUCCGCGGCCCGAUGCUGUGGCCAGCGCUGGCGCUGGGUCCCUGGCCGGCUCACCUCCCAAGGCCCGGAGGUGAGCCACACUGCCUUCUCAUUUGAUCAUUCAACGACUGUUUGUCGAGUGCCCACUGCGUGCUAGAUCCUGUGCAGACCACUGGGGCCUGGCUUCCACAAGGUGAAGGACAGCUGCUCGACCUGUGGCUGAUUUUAGCUCAGCUUCUAACAAGUCAGUACCUGUUCCCGGACCCUUUUCAAGAUUGAACUUUGGAUGGAUUUGGUUUUUCACUUCAGCUGGACUCUAAUUCAUCUGGAAUGACUUUGAGGAAUGGUAUCAGAGGUG